rnacentral:rRNA from 1 species
GGUUAAGCGACUAAGCGUACACGGUGGAUGCCCUGGCAGUCAGAGGCGAUGAAGGACGUGCUAAUCUGCGAUAAGCGUCGGUAAGGUGAUAUGAACCGUUAUAACCGGCGAUUUCCGAAUGGGGAAACCCAGUGUGUUUCGACACACUAUCAUUAACUGAAUCCAUAGGUUAAUGAGGCGAACCGGGGGAACUGAAACAUCUAAGUACCCCGAGGAAAAGAAAUCAACCGAGAUUCCCCCAGUAGCGGCGAGCGAACGGGGAGCAGCCCAGAGCCUGAAUCA